AACAAGGCGUACCUGCGGACCUGCGGAAGGAUCAUCAUUGAAAACAAAUUUGGACAAGGGGAUUGUGAUUGACGGGGGAGGGGAAGGUUUUAUUUCCUGAGCCUUGAGAGAACAACCUCUUGGACAAACAACCAAUCUUCAUGACUAGGAAAAAACACAGUAAAGUAAACCAGUGGUUUGGGGGGGGGCAUAAACAACAAACAAGUUCUUGUCUGACAAGUAGUGUUUGGUGAUACUGAU
rnacentral:misc_RNA from 1 species